AUGUUAAUGUAUGGCCUCGUGCCAUCGCGCACUGAUGUUUGUGUCUUGAUGCCUAUUGGUGUAACAACUCCAUGUCGCCCAGGGGCUGCCUCUGGUUUUGUGGAUGAGAUGCUCAGGGUCAUUUUGUGUCACGUAGCAAUUGAGAGAUUCUGUUUGUUGACGAUAUUACAACUGCUGAAACCCGAGCACACCAUGCCAAGUAGAGUAGAUUUUAGCGGGACAAAUGUGAUGCAACACGAUCUUGGUCGAAUAUUGGAAGUGGUCGAGGUCAUGCAACAUGGAGGGAACUCUAUUGGACUUAUUGCGGCACCGUCGGUUCAGGAAGCGGUUAGUUUGAGCUCAAGCUCAUAUAAGCUUGGAUGA
rnacentral:rRNA from 1 species